rnacentral:sRNA from 1 species
UACCACUUAGUUGUGUCGCCUUUGCUC